rnacentral:rRNA from 1 species
UACGUAGGGGGCAAGCGUUGUCCGGAUUUAUUGGGCGUAAAGAGCGUGUAGGCGGUUUGGUAGGUCCGUUGUGAAAACUCGAGGCUCGACCUCGAGACGCCGGCGGAAACCAUCAGGCUAGAGUCCGGAAGAGGAGAGUGGAAUUCCUGGUGUAGCGGUGAAAUGCGCAGAUAUCAGGAAGAACACCCGUGGCUAAGGCGGCUCUCUAGUACGGUACUGACGCUGAGACGCGAAAGCGUGGGGAGCGAACAGG